rnacentral:rRNA from 1 species
GCUUAACACAUGCAAGUCGAACGGCAGCACAGGGGAGCUUGCUCCCUGGGUGGCGAGUGGCGGACGGGUGAGGAAUACAUGGGAAUCUGCCCAAUCGUGGGGGAUAACGUAGGGAAACUUACGCUAAUACCGCAUACGACCUCCGGGUGAAAGCGGCGGACCGCAAGGCGUCGCGCGAUUGGAUGAGCCCAUGUCGGAUUAGCUAGUUGGCGGGGUAAAGGCCCACCAAGGCGACGAUCCGUAGCUGGUCUGAGAGGAUGAUCAGCCACACUGGAACUGAGACACGGUCCAGACUCCUACGGGAGGCAGCAGUGGGGAAUAUUGGACAAUGGGCGCAAGCCUGAUCCAGCCAUGCCGCGUGGGUGAAGAAGGCCUUCGGGUUGUAAAGCCCUUUAGGUGGGGAGGAAGGCGUUCAUGCUAAUACCAUGGAUGAUUGACGUUACCCACAGAAUAAGCACCGGCUAACUCCGUGCCAGCAGCCGCGGUAAUAC